UCUUGUUCAACUUGUCUCUUCUUGUAACACAGUAAAGAAGUCUUAGCCUAUAAUGUCUCCCUUUUUCUGAACUCUCAUGACAGAUGGAACUUGUGAUGAGAUCUGUGAUGGAAGGGAAAUUGAGAAGGAUUUGGUGAACAUUGAGGAAGAAGUCAACAUAUUUCUUCAGGAAUCUGGACCAAGUUGUCUUUCAAUGAGGAAGAUCAGGUAUUAAGACCUGCUUUUGGAACCACAGUCCUCAAGCUUGAAAUAUAAGACCACCCCCACUACCAAUUGUCAAGAUUUCUGAUCCAAAUUACUGUGCCUCAGAUAACCAAGGUGCCAGAGCCACUCACAGCCCAACUUCCAGAUUUACUCCAUCAAUACCAGAAAAAAAGACAGAGCAAGAGCAUUCAGGCAAAGGUGAUUUCCAGGAUGUUUUCCGGAUUAUGAGCUUUGCGCCGGUGGAAGCGUUUCGAGGUUCUUAUAUGGCUUUAAAAGGGGCUUAGACAAGUUCAUGGCGGACACGUCUAUCAAUGGCUACUAGAGAUGGCUAUAGACCAACUCCAGCUUCAGAGUCAAGAUGCCUCCACAUAUCAGUUGCAGGGGAGCCAUGGCAGGAGUGGGGGCAUGUCUUCAUCUCUUGCCUGUGGACUUCUGUGAAGGAAUGAGGCCUGGACUUCCUCUUCUUCAGUAUUCCUCUACUGCCAAUGUUUUUGCUUAUUCCCUAUGUUCAGUAUCAAAAAGCUGUGCAGGGGUCAAAAGUUCACAGUUCCUCCUGUUCUACAUUUUGGUUUAGAAGGGGAAAGAAUUUUACUGGUUAACCUUUGGAAUGUGUUAAAUUUUUAAUUACUGUUUAAAUUUUUUAAUUGCUGUUAUCUUUGAAUAUGUUGAAUUUUUUAACUGCUGUUUUAAUUGUUGUUUUUGUUUUGGUUUUGUUGUGUUUGUUUUUGUGAAUCGUCUAGGACUUUGGGAGUCAGGUGGUAUAGAAGUUAAAUAAAUAAAAUAAAUAAAUAAGAGAGGGUUUGAUUUGACUGGAUAUGUUUUAAAAUAAUGGAGGGAACUUGAGUUGUUCUUAUUUGGAGGGCGGGGGAUAGGCUAAAAGGAGGUUUGCCUGCAGUAGAUAGUUAGUCCAAAAGCUGUAGAGCUGAAUAGUUGGAAAGAUGUAGAGCUGGUUAGUUGAACAGUGAGGGCUGAAGAACUAGAGUCAGUUCAGGUUGGAGUUGGAGAGGCUCUGCACACAAUCGGUGUGUAGAGCCUAAUAGGGUUCUGCGGGCAGAGUGGGUCAAGCCUGCUCUCCCCACAGACAAUCACCAGGCUAGCUCUGAAUGGCCGGAUUGGUCACCCACACAAGUACUGGCUCCAUCAUGGAGCUGGUAGGGGUGAUGGGGAUGGGGGGCCUCCUGGCCCCCCAGGAAGUCCUAGAAUGCCCUGCGCAAGUGAGUGGAACAUUCUGGGGAGACCCCCCAAGACCAGGAGGCAUGCUGUUGCCUCCCAGCUAGUGGGUCUCCUCUUGAGUUGCCACAGUGCGGAGCCACACCGUGGCAACUCACAAUCAACUAAACAGGGUCAGCAGAGCGCUCGCUCCACUAAACUUGUUUAAGGGCUGGGGGCAAUUAAGUGCACUAACCUCCAGCAGCCACACAGUUCCUGGAGGUUCACACAUGUGGGGAUACUGGGCUGGACUCCCUUAGCCCAGUUUCCUCUGCAUGUGUGAAUAGCCUCAGAGUCUGGGAGAGCCAGGAGAGAAGAGCUGAGAAGUGCUGCUGAAAUUAAGAGCUCAAAAAUCACUGGGAGAGUUAAGCUGAAAACUCCCUUGAUACCCAAAUCACCCACAAAGCAGCUGAAGGAUCAGUCUGGAAUUGAACCUCCAGUACUGGAAAGAAUGAGCCAGACCUGCAGCUGAACAAGGGGGAAAGGCAGGCUUGCUUUAGUAGCUGAUCAAAGGUGCUUAUAAGAAAACUCCUGGUUAGGUUAAGGCACAGUAUUAGAUGCAGGUUAGACUGGAUGCAUUUUUUUUAUAUUUUAUUUGUUCCUUGUGCUCAUAUGGUUGCUUUGUACUAAAUUUUCCAAAAGAACUGCUGUUUUACAUUAAA